AGAGUUUGAUCCUGGCUCAGGAUGAACGCUGGCGGCGUGCCUAACACAUGCAAGUCGAACGAAGCAUGCCGGAGGAAGUUUUCGGAUGGAAUCCGGGAUGACUGAGUGGCGGACGGGUGAGUAACGCGUGGGUAACCUGCCCUGUACAGGGGGACAACAGUUAGAAAUGACUGCUAAUACCGCAUAAGCGCACAGGACCGCAUGGUCCGGUGUGAAAAACUCCGGCGGUACAGGAUGGACCCGCGUCUGAUUAGGUAGUUGGCGGGGUAACGGCCCACCAAGCCGACGAUCAGUAGCCGACCUGAGAGGGUGACCGGCCACAUUGGGACUGAGACACGGCCCAAACUCCUACGGGAGGCAGCAGUGGGGAAUAUUGCACAAUGGGGGAAACCCUGAUGCAGCGACGCCGCGUGAGUGAAGAGGUAUUUCGGUAUGUAAAGCUCUAUCAGCAGGGAAGAAAAUGACGGUACCUGACUAAGAAGCCCCGGCUAACUACGUG
rnacentral:rRNA from 1 species